rnacentral:rRNA from 1 species
AUUGAACGUUGGCGGAAUGCUUUACACAUGCAAGUCAAACGGUAGAGGGGGCAACCCCUCGAGAGUGGCGAACGGGUGAGUAAUAUAUCGGAACGUGCCCAGUCGUGGGGGAUAACGUAGCGAAAGUUACGCUAAUACCGCAUACGAUCUAAGGAUGAAAGCGGGGGAUCGCAAGACCUCGCGCGAUUGGAGCGGCCGAUAUCAGAUUAGGUAGUUGGUGGGGUAAAGGCUCACCAAGCCGACGAUCUGUAGCUGGUCUGAGAGGACGACCAGCCACACUGGAACUGAGACACGGUCCAGACUCCUACGGGAGGCAGCAGUGGGGAAUUUUGGACAAUGGACGCAAGUCUGAUCCAGCCAUUCCGCGUGCAGGAUGAAGGCCCUCGGGUUGUAAACUGCUUUUGUACGGAACGAAAAGGUCUCUCUUAAUACGGGGGACUCAUGACGGUACCGUAAGAAUAAGCACCGGCUAACUACGUGCCAGCCGCCGCAGUAA